UACGUAGGGGGCAAGCGUUGUCCGGAAUCAUUGGGCGUAAAGCGCGUGUAGGCGGCUAGAUAAGUCUGCUCUGAAAGCCCGGGGCUCAACCCCGGGAGGCGGGUGGAUACUGUCUAGCUCGAGUCCGGAAGAGGAGUGUGGAAUUCCUGGUGUAGCGGUGAAAUGCGCAGAUAUCGGGAAGAACACCCGUGGCGAAGGCGGCUCUCUGGGACGGUACUGACGCUGAGACGCGAAAGCGUGGGGAGCGAACAGG
rnacentral:rRNA from 1 species